rnacentral:rRNA from 1 species
AGUGAACGCUGGCGGUAGGCCUAACACAUGCAAGUCGAACGGCAGCACAGUAAGAGCUUGCUCUUACGGGUGGCGAGUGGCGGACGGGUGAGGAAUACAUCGGAAUCUACUUUUUCGUGGGGGAUAACGUAGGGAAACUUACGCUAAUACCGCAUACGACCUACGGGUGAAAGCAGGGGAUCUUCGGACCUUGCGCGAUUGAAUGAGCCGAUGUCGGAUUAGCUAGUUGGCGGGGUAAAGGCCCACCAAGGCGACGAUCCGUAGCUGGUCUGAGAGGAUGAUCAGCCACACUGGAACUGAGACACGGUCCAGACUCCUACGGGAGGCAGCAGCGGGGAAUAUUGGACAAUGGGCGCAAGCCUGAUCCAGCCAUACCGCGUGGGUGAAGAAGGCCUUCGGGUUGUAAAGCCCUUUUGUUGGGAAAGAAAGGCAGCAGGUUAAUACCCCGCUGUUCUGACGGUACCCAAAGAAUAAGCACCGGCUAACUUCGUG